AUCUGCCCGUGGUAUCUGAUGUCCUGAAUUGUAUUGUUUCUGGACAUCUCGUUUAAAGGGCAUAAAUUAGCUUCCAAAACAGGUCUUGCGACACAGAUUGCUUUUGAAUUAUAAGCUUUCUGUUACUUUAAUCCUGCUUAUAUAU